rnacentral:rRNA from 1 species
ACAUCCAGAGAACUUGGCAGAGAUGCCUUGGUGCCUUCGGGAACUCUGAGACAGGUGCUGCAUGGCUGUCGUCAGCUCGUGUUGUGAAAUGUUGGGUUAAGUCCCGNAACGAGCGCAACCCCUAUCCUUUGUUGCCAGCGAUUCGGUCGGGAACUCAAAGGAGACUGCCGGUGAUAAACCGGAGGAAGGUGGGGAUGACGUCAAGUCAUCAUGGCCCUUACGAGUAGGGCUACACACGUGCUACAAUGGCGCAUACAAAGAGAAGCGACCUCGCGAGAGCAAGCGGACCUCAUAAAGUGCGUCGUAGUCCGGAUCGGAGUCUGCAACUCGACUCCGUGAAGUCGGAAUCGCUAGUAAUCGUAGAUCAGAAUGCUACGGUGAAUACGUUCCCGGGCCUUGUACACACCGCCCGUCACACCAUGGGAGUGGGUCGCAAAAGAAGUAGAUAGCUUAACCUUCGGGAGGGCGUUUACCACUUUGUGAUUCAUGACUGGGGUGAAGUCGUAACAAGGUAAGCGUAGCGAG